UACGUAGGUGGCAAGCGUUGUCCGGAUUUACUGGGCGUAAAGAGCGCGCAGGCGGUCGUUUAAGUCGAAUGUGAAAGCCCCCGGCUCAACUGGGGAGGGUCAUUCGAUACUGAUCGACUCGAAGGCAGGAGAGAGAAGUGGAAUUCCCGGUGUAGUGGUGAAAUGCGUAGAUAUCGGGAGGAACACCAGUGGCGAAGGCGACUUCUUGGCCGGCCCUGACACUGAGACGCGAAGGCGUGGGGAGCGAACGGG
rnacentral:rRNA from 1 species